UACGUAGGCAGCGAGCGUUGUUCGGAGUUACUGGGCGUAAAGGGUGUGUAGGCGGUUCGGUAAGUCUGGUGUGAAAUCUCCCGGCUCAACUGGGAGGGUGCGCCGGAAACUGCCAAACUAGAGUGCGGGAGAGGAAAGUGGAAUUCCUGGUGUAGCGGUGAAAUGCGUAGAUAUCAGGAGGAACACCGGUGGUGUAGACGGCUUUCUGGACCGUAACUGACGCUGAAACACGAAAGCGUGGGUAGCAAACAGGAUUAGAUACCCUGGUAGUCCACGCCCUAAACGAUGCAUAUUUGGUGUGGGCAGUUCAUUCUGUCCGUGCCGGAGCUAACGCGUUAAAUAUGCCGCCUGGGGAGUACAGUCGCAAGGCUGAA
rnacentral:rRNA from 1 species